AACGAACGCUGGCGGCAUGCCUAACACAUGCAAGUCGAACGAGACCUUCGGGUCUCGUGGCGCACGGGUGCGUAACGCGUGGGAACCUGCCCUUAGGUUCGGAAUAACUCCCCGAAAGGGGUGCUAAUACCGGAUAAUGUCUUCGGACCCAAGAUUUAUCGCCUUUGGAUGGGCCCGCGUUGGAUUAGCUAGUUGGUAGGGUAAAAGCCUACCAAGGCGAAGAUCCAUAGCUGGUCUGAGAGGAUGAACAGCCACACUGGGACUGAGACACGGCCCAGACUCCUACGGGAGGCAGCAGUGGGGAAUAUUGGACAAUGGGCGAAAGCAUGAUCCAGCAAUGCCGAGUGAGUGAUGAAGGACUUAGGGUUGUAAAGCUCUUUUACCCGGGAUGAUAAUGACAGUACCGGGAGAAUAAGCGCAGGCUAACUCCGUG
rnacentral:rRNA from 1 species